rnacentral:lncRNA from 1 species
AACCUGUCCCAGUUUGAAAGUAUCAUCACUAUCAAGGUGUACCCCAAUGUUUUUGGGGGAAACCUUAAAAUGUAAUAUGGCUCCUGAUUUGGUACACAUUCCUCUCAAAGGACAAAACAAUAAUAAUAGUGAGGCACUGGUAUUGUGUGAGAAAAGGUGUCUCCAUCUUGUAAAUUAUUAGUGCCAAACAUGGCACCUUAACUUUGUCGGCACAUCUGUUUGCAGUUGUAUCAUAGGUUAUGCUGUCAUGAAUAUGGAUUUCAGAUUUUCUGUUGUUAUGUCAGAGUAUUGAUUCAAGAAAAUGAAUUAUGUAGCAGGCCUGCUUUCAAUUCUUUCAUUUUGCCAAACAUGGCACCUUAACUUUGUCGACACAUCUGU